rnacentral:misc_RNA from 1 species
CGUCACUUCAGUAUUGAAAAGACUUUUGUCCCGACUUACUUGAUCAACUAAAGUAAAAGACUUGUGUCCUGAAUCCAAGACUUUUCACCUUCCACAUGCCUAGCUAUAAUUUCACAAAUGAGGCUAUAGAUUUUUCAGCAAAGACAGGUAUACAGACAAAUUAUUGGAAGCGCAAAUGUAGAAGUAAAAAGUUUCAUAAUGAUCAUGCUUACUGGAAAUGAUAUAUGCUACUCUGGAAUCCAUUGGAUAAGCCAGCAGCAGAGUCAAAGUUAAACAGAUGAAUUGACCUUGGUCUCUUUGGUGGCAGAAUAUUCAAUCCAUAUAAGUCCCCUGCAACAAAAAUUGGUGGUUGG